rnacentral:rRNA from 1 species
UAUUGGUCAAUGGACGCAAGUCUGAACCAGCCAUGCCGCGUGAAGGAUGAAGGUCCUCUGGAUUGUAAACUUCUUUUAUAGGGGAAGAAAUCUGAAUAUUCCUAUUCAGUUGACGGUACCCUAGGAAUAAGCACCGGCUAACUCCGUGCCAGCAGCCGCGGUAAUACGGAGGGUGCAAGCGUUAUCCGGAUUCACUGGGUUUAAAGGGUGCGUAGGAGGGCAGGGAAGUCAGUGGUGAAAUCUCCGGGCUUAACUCGGAAACUGCCGUUGAUACUCUCUGUCUUGAAUCCCGUGGAGGUGAGCGGAAUAUGUCAUGUAGCGGUGAAAUGCUUAGAUAUGACAUAGAACACCAAUUGCGAAGGCAGCUCGCUACACGAAGAUUGACUCUGAGGCACGAAAGCGUGGGGAUCAAACAGG